rnacentral:tRNA from 1 species
GGGGGUGGGGCUCAGUGGUGGACUGCUUGCCUGGCAUGUGGCAGCCUGGGUUCAAUUCCCAGAACUCUCA